rnacentral:ncRNA from 1 species
CCCUUUCUAAGCGUCAACGGUUCCCGGUCGUCAUCGGCCGGGACUAAGAGGGAACACGGUGCGUUCUUCCUCGAUCGGAUCGAGGAGACAAUCCCGUGGCUGCCCCCGCAACUGUGAACGGUGAGCACGGCUAGACCAAGCCACUGGGGAUACUCGACCCUGGGAAGGCAUAGCCGAUGCGACGAUCCGUGAGCCAGGAGACCUGCCGCUGACAUCCGACGCCG